rnacentral:lncRNA from 1 species
CAGGUUCUUAAUGGAAAGAAUGAUCUUUGGCCCUAUCAGUCUGUACCACAGGUGACCUCUGAAAGUCACUUGUAAUUCUUCAGCAGGCUGGAGCCCCUGCUGCAAUGCCACAGCAGCUCACACCUUGUUGCAAUCUGAGUCUCCUGGAACAAUAAUCAUCCAGAGCCACCCUCGCUGCAGAUGGACUGGCUUCCUUUGAGCUACGUUCCUCCCACUUCUGACAUUCCUGCUGCCUUGGGAUCCAAAUCUGCGCUUCAGACUGUUUGUGAAGAAAAUUCCUUCACACAGACAAGUGGCAAGCAAAACACUUUACAUGCAGGACCAAGAUGCUCACAAUUGUGUCUACCUUUCAAGGAGUAUGACUCCACAUUCCCUACCCACUGAUGUAAAUGUUUUCUUUUUAGCAUAACUUAAGUUGUUUAAUCACAGCAUGAAAACAUUAGGCAUAUGUUCAAUUUCCAGUUAUUAUCAGUGUCAUUUCUUGUUUGGCUUAUGAGCCAUAAAGGUUCUUUUUUUAAAAAAUAUCAUUUUGUUUUGACAUUCCAGGUUCUGCAUAUUUUAAGCAGUGCUUUUGCUAGUGCUCUGUGGGUGUUUGGACUCUGGGAACCCUCUUGACUAAAUAAAUGCCUCAUCAUUCACUUUUGAUAUCUGACA